AAAGGCUCAUUAAAUCAGUUAUGGUUCCUUAGAUUGUACCCACAUUUACUUGGAUAACUGUGGUAAUUCUAGAGCUAAUACAUGCAAACAGAGCUCCAACCAGAGAUGGAAGGAGUGCUUUUAUUAGAUCAAAACCAAUCGGCGGCAAUUAUGUUUCGGCAUUAUUGUUCGUCGCAAUAUUUGGUGACUCUGAAUAACUUUUGGCUGAUCGCACGGUCUUGCACCGGCGACGCAUCUUUCAAAUGUCUGCUUUAUCAACUGUCGAUGGUAGGUUCUGCGCCUACCAUGGUUGUAACGGGUAACGGGGAAUCAGGGUUCGAUUCCGGAGAGGGAGCCUGAGAAACGGCUACCACAUCCAAGGAAGGCAGCAGGCGCGCAAAUUACCCACUCCCGGCACGGGGAGGUAGUGACGAAAAAUAACGAUACGGGACUCAUCCGAGGCCCCGUAAUCGGAAUGAGUACACUUUAAAUCCUUUAACAAAAAUCAAUCGGAGGGAAAGUCUGGUGCCAGCAGCCGCGGUAAUUCCAGCUCCGAUAGCGUAUAUUAAAGUUGUUGCGGUUAAAAAGCUCGUAGUUGAAUCUGUGUCCCGCGCUGUCGGUUCACCGCCCGCGGUGUUUAACUGGCAUGCUCGUGGGACGUCCUGCCGGUGGAUGUUUGGUCCUUGUAUUCUCCCCCAUUAUAUCAUGGGUGUUAGCGUGUGCACUGUUAAAGGUGUUACUGUUACAUCAUUAUGUAUAAUGUGUGGGGUUACUUGGUUAACCAGCAUCCGACUUAUAAAAUCCUGUCGCGGUGCUCUUAAUUGAGUGUCGAGGUGGGCCGGCACAUUUACUUUGAACAAAUUAGAGUGCUCAAAGCAGGCUAAAAUUUUGCCUGAAUAUUGGUGCAUGGAAUAAUGGAAAAGGACCUCGGUUCUAUUUUGUUGGUUUUCGGAACACCGAGGUAAUGAUUAAUAGGGACAGAUGGGGGCAUUCGUAUUGCGACGUUAGAGGUGAAAUUCUUGGAUCGUCGCAGGACGGACAGAAGCGAAAGCAUUUGCCAAAAAUGUUUUCAUUAAUCAAGAACGAAAGUCAGAGGCCCGAAGGCGAUCAGAUACCGCCCUAGUUCUGACCAUAAACGAUGCCAGCUAGCGAUCCGCCGACGUUCCUCCGAUGACUCGGCGGGCAGCUUCCGGGAAACCAAAGCUUUUGGGUUCCGGGGGAAGUAUGGUUGCAAAGCUGAAACUUAAAGGAAUUGACGGAAGGGCACCACCAGGAGUGGAGCCUGCGGCUUAAUUUGACUCAACACGGGAAAUCUCACCAGGCCCGGACACCGGAAGGAUUGACAGAUUGAGAGCUCUUUCUUGAUUCGGUGGGUGGUGGUGCAUGGCCGUUCAUAGUUGGUGGAGCGAUUUGUCUGGUUAAUUCCGUUAACGAACGAGACUCUAGCCUGCUAACUAGGCGUUAAUUACCGGUAUCCUGAAGGCUCGUGUCUUCCAUUACCUGGCGUAUUUUUGUUUCUAUGUAUUUUCACUUCUGUGUUAUGCAUGGUACAUAAUAUUGUGCGGGGUGGAUGUUCACGGUUUUUACUACCGGCGUACAUAUAAAUCUUCUUAGAGGGACAGGCAGCUUCUAGCUGCACGAGAUUGAGCGAUAACAGGUCUGUGAUGCCCUUAGAUGUUCUGGGCCGCACGCGCGCUACACUGAAGGAAUCAGCGUGUCUUCCCUGGCCGAGCGGCCCGGGUAACCCGCUGAACCUCCUUCGUGCUAGGGAUUGGGGCUUGAAAUUUUUCCCCAUGAACGAGGAAUUCCCAGUAAGCGCGAGUCAUAAGCUCGCGUUGAUUACGUCCCUGCCCUUUGUACACACCGCCCGUCGCUACUACCGAUUGAAUGAUUUAGUGAGGUCUUCAGACUGGUACGCGGCUUUAUCCUUA
rnacentral:rRNA from 1 species